rnacentral:rRNA from 1 species
UUAGUGGCGGACGGGUGAGUAACGCGUGGAAAACCUGCCGUAUACUGGGGGAUAACACUUAGAAAUAGGUGCUAAUACCGCAUAAGCGCACAGCUUCGCAUGAAGCGGUGUGAAAAACUCUGGUGGUAUACGAUGGUUCCGCGUCUGAUUAGCUAGUUGGUGGGGUAAUGGCCUACCAAGGCAACGAUCAGUAGCCGGCCUGAGAGGGNGAACGGCCACAUUGGGACUGAGACACGGCCCAAACUCCUACGGGAGGCAGCAG